rnacentral:rRNA from 1 species
GAUGAACGCUGGCGGCGUGCCUAAUACAUGCAAGUCGAGCGAACGGACGAGAAGCUUGCUUCUCUGAUGUUAGCGGCGGACGGGUGAGUAACACGUGGAUAACCUACCUAUAAGACUGGGAUAACUUCGGGAAACCGUAGCUAAUACCGGAUAAUAUUUUGAACCGCAUGGUUCAAAAGUGAAAGACGGUCUUGCUGUCACUUAUAGAUGGAUCCGCGCUGCAUUAGCUAGUUGGUAAGGUAACGGCUUACCAAGGCAACGAUGCAUAGCCGACCUGAGAGGGGGAUAGGCCACACUGGAACUGAGACACGGUCCAGACGCCUACGGGAGGCAGCAGUAGGGAAUCUUCCGCAAUGGGCGAAAGCCUGACGGAGCAACGCCGAGUGAGUGAUGAAGGUCUUCGGAUCGUAAAACUCUGUUAUUAGGGAAGAACAUAUGUGUAAGUAACUGUGCACAUCUUGACGGUACCUAAUCAGAAAGCCACGGCUAACUACGUG